UUAGCAAAAUUGAUUAAGUUUUGGAUAAAAACUUGUUUUAAGAUUUACUUUUGAGGUAAAUUGUGUAAUGUAAGCAUAUUCUUUUCUAUAUAUUGUGAGGAAAAGAUACAUUUUUAGUGAUUUAAUCUGGAUAUAAAAUGAAACAAAUUUACAAAUAACAAAGAUGAAAAGUAGAAUGUAACAGGAGAAAAAAUUAUGUGAACUUCAAAAAUCUAUGGAAUUUGUAAUUUUUAAACUUCAUUCUGUUUUCAUCACUGAAGUAAAUGAGUUUCCAAAAUUACAUGCACAUGUGUAUGUAAUAUUCUAAGAGUGUGAGUAGUCUUGUGUAUAGAAGAAUCUGAAAUAAUUUCAUUAAUUGUGCAAAAUAUGUGCAGCAACAAAGGUGUUACUACAUUAGCCAUUUAAACUAAUUCGUUCACUUGUAAUUGCUUGUUUUCAAAGGAGACAUACUGAUUUUCCUUAUCACUAUACUUUAUUACAAAAUUUUAAUAUCAUAAUUUAUAUAUAUAUUCAAAAUAACAUUGUAGCGCACCAAGGAUAUUUGGAUAAAUCUCCUACUAUUUCAUAAGUUAUAUAUAACAACACACCAUAUUUAUAAACAGGUGUAUGUUAAUGUUUGAGUAUAUGCUCGUUGACAGAAUUCUUCUUUGAAUGUAUUGAAAAAUCAGGGAAUUCAAUAAAAACAUGCAUGUUUAAAACCUUAUAUAUAUAUAUAUAUAUAUAUAUAUAUGACAUAAUAUAGAAUAGAAGAAAAUAGGCUUCUGGCACACAAUAUCCAUUUUUGUUUUAUUUUAUGCUUCUUCGAUUUAUGUCGGUACCCCCUCCCUGUUACGCAUCGUCCUUCCCAGAGGUUGACACGUCAUCAAUCUGCCAAGUAGGAUAAAUUUGGCUGCAUGCUGUUGUUGUUGUUCUCUGCCAAAACUGCUAUUUUUUCCUUCUUCUUCUUUAUUUAAAAAUACUUAUUCAAAGGCAAGAUGCAUGGGUGAUUGAAGCCCAGGUUACAUGGCAUUUCAAGGUCUGUGCAAUGUGGGUUGUUUAUGUGUUGCUAAUUGUAAGUAAUUGUAAGAUACAUCAAAUGAUUUAGUUACACAAACAGUAAAUAAAUACAUUUUAGUUUUCCUUUUUCAAGUGUAAGUUCUUGUUGUCUGUUGUUUGUUGUUGUAUGUUUGUUUGUCUUUGUGAUUCUACAUGACUAGAAUUUACAAAAAUGGCUACAUAACUUCAAACAUGUCCUUUUAAUGCAUUGAUGUGUGUUUGGAGACUUUUUAUAUCUCUCAUUGUGUUAUUUUAUUUUAUUUUAUUUUUUGAGAAUGUCUUCAAGAGGCAGGAUUGUUUUGCUUGUUGCACCUUUUAUUGUGGUGAAUGAAGUACAUCUACCCUCACCUUUAACUAUACUGGACAGAAUAUGUGCAUUUUAUUCACACUUGAGAGUCCUAUGCAUAACCAGUUCAGAAUUGAUAUUGCAAUUGGUAUUCAUUCUCAAUUAUGAAUACACCCAUGUAAGAUAUACAUAUUUUUAAGCAGUGCAACUUAUGGGUUAUGUGUAUACCCUGAUUUAUUCAGUCCCUACUUCUUCUUUUCAGGACUCAAUAACUACCAUGGUAGAAAUGGUACAUUCUUUUUCAGCACGUUUGCAAUUUAUUACAAAGAAUGAUUUUUUGAUGAUAACAUUGACACAGCAGCAGCAGAAGAAGAAGAAGGAAAAUAAGAAGAUGAAAUGUUGAGAUCUGAAUGGACAUGUUAUGUGGAACAGCUGAUGAUAUUAACCCAGAAAUCAAACAAUGGAAAUGAAGAAGCGAAUAUAAAAAUAAGAUGGGGAAAAAAAUAAUGUCAUUUGAAUAAAAUGCACCAUUGUUUAGGGAUCUUGGAACAUGUUUUUAAUUCUCUUCAUGCAUGGAUGACCAUGUCAAUGCUGCCUGGAGUGUUAAUAGUGUGUUGGGUUGAGUUUCGACUUCACUGUGUAAAGCACUGUGAAUGAUUCAACGUCCUGUUUUGUUUAUUUAUUGAUUUGUUUUUCCCUUCAUCUCAGACUGCAAACUUUUUAGAUAGUAAUUUUUCGUUCUCCCUCAGUAAUAAAAUAAAAGAAAAGGCUCAAUCCUUCCUUAUAUUGUGCAAUUUUUGCUGGUUUCCAAUCCCAAAAUGAAGUGCCCCAGUUCAUCUCUUCCAUUGAAUUUUGAUGUUGAAUUUACACAUUGUCCUGAAUGACACCGCGAUAAAGGGACAUGAGGAAUGUACAUGAAAGCAGAUCAGGAAAAGAAAGAACAAAAGCUCAGACAAUCAGAUAUUAAACAAGCUAAUGUAUUGUCUCCAUAGUCACCAUUAUUAGUAAAUAAAAACAACAAUGCACACACAAAGGCUGAGUUAUUAAAAAAGUGAUUGGUCCACAUUCUGCCAAUGGUCUUCAAAAGCGCUGAGAUUGCAUAUAAGAAAGGCACAAUAGCAUUGGAAUCCACAUGACCCUUGCUUCAGGAGGGGUUGCACUCUAGCACAGAAAACUCUUGGCACCAAGCUUGAAGAAAGCAAUGGUGGCUGUGUGCUUGUGAGUGAAAGAAGGGAGGGAAUCCAAAACCAAAAAAAAUUCAAGUCAAACAAGGACAAAAAGGGCAAAAUAAAAAUAAAUAAAUAAACACAAAAAAGAGUGCAAUUGCAACUGUAGCAUUACACCAGGCCACAUUGGGCAUAAAAAGCUCCCAACCACAAUGCUCCGGGUGGGGAGAUGAUGUUCACAUCAACAUGUGUUGAGUUAGUGGGGGAUAAAGCAUCAGUGCCACAAUAACCCACCAUUGCUCACCCUAAUCCUAAUAGUUCCAUUAGGGUUCUCAAUAUGGGCCAUGCUAUUUACCUCUCCAUAUUUGGAUUUGACCUAAUUUUAACUUAUUGUGGGGUGCUUGCUCAUUUAGAGCCGCCACCAACCCCACUUCCCUCCCUCUUCAGACUGCUACCCUGAGUGCGGACGUUGAUCUGCGCUCCUGUGGGAUCCUUAGUUUUUACGGAUGCACAGACAAUGCAAAAGGGUUCGUCUGUGAGCAACUUUGUAUGGGUCUUCCUCAGGCUCAUAACUCUAAAUUCCCUUGACCCUCUUGGUCAAUAUUCCUUUUUUCUUGCACAGUUCAAAACCUUGGGUUCUGCUAUAAAAAAGAAAGCAGAAAAAAAUGAAAAAAAAAAUAUAUAUAUAUAUAUAUAUAUAUAUAUCACAUUUCCUUAUGUUUCAUUAUAUAUGUAUGUAUAGUUGUGUUGGAAGUAUGGAAAUUUGCUCUAAUCAUGUAAGGAAAAUCAAGUGAGAAUCACAAAGUGCAAUGACAACAAAGAAUCCAUAGGCAACAUCCUUGAAAAAUAAUAAAAAAAAAUUGAACGCUAUGUCAUGUUGAGUUUCUUAUCAUACAUAGUCACAAUUAGUAUCAUUAUUGUUCCUGUUAAUUUUUAUUUAUUUAUUUAUUUACCUUAAAGAUCUUAAUCAGUUACUCGUUACAAACAAGCACAAUUUUAAAUCAAAGGAAUCCCAGUGAUACAAACUUGAAACCAAACCAUGUGCAGAGCUCAAUGAAAGUAGGAUAAAAAGAAAUAACAACUCGUUUGGAGGUGAUGGAAAGUAUGGAGGGUUCAUUGACCAAUGUGGAGUGCAUGUGCAGUAAUUAGGGUUUCAAAUUCUAAUUCUAAUUCUUAUUAUUCUAGUUGUUACCUACAGUUUCUUUUUGUGCCCAUGACAGAGUCAAGGGCCCAGUCUAAGCUGACAAGGGAUUUUUCCCCAUUGGCUUCUGUCCCCAAUGCUCUCCUUUGGGUUGAAUAAUUGUAUCACUGCCUUCAGGGGAACCUCUUGUUCCAUACCAUGUUCCCAUAGAAUCCUUUUUGUUCCCAUGAGCAUGGAUUGUUCAUUUAUCAUGAAGGUACUCCU
rnacentral:lncRNA from 1 species